rnacentral:rRNA from 1 species
UUGUUGGUUUAUCUGAACCCAAGGUAAUGACUAAGAGAGACAGUCGGGGGCAUUUGUACUGUGACGCUAGAGGUGAAAUUCUUGGACCGUCACAAGACAAACAACUGCGAAAGCAUUUGCCAAGGAUGUUUUCAUUAAUCAAGAACGAAAGUUAGAGGUUCGAAGGCGAUCAGAUACCGCCCUAGUUCUAACCAUAAACGAUGCCAACCAGCAAUCCGCCGGGGUUAUUCCCAUGACCCGGCGGGCAGCUUCCGGGAAACCAGAGUCUUUGGGUUCCGGGGGAAGUAUGGUUGCAAAGCUGAAACUUAAAGGAAUUGACGGAAGGGCACCACCAGGAGUGGAGCCUGCGGCUUAAUUUGACUCAACACGGGAAACCUCACCAGGCCCAGACACUGGAAGGAUUGACAGAUUGAGAGCUCUUUCUCGAUUCAGUGGGUGGUGGUGCAUGGCCGUUCUUAGUUGGUGGAGUGAUUUGUCUGGUUAAUUC